ACAUGGCAGCAGAAUGCCCUCUACUUCCUGAGGUUAUGGAGACAGGGAGACAUGGCAGCAGAAUGCCCUCUACUUCCCGAGGUUAUGGAGACAGGGAGACAUGGC